rnacentral:rRNA from 1 species
UACGUAGGCAGCGAGCGUUGUUCGGAAUUACUGGGCGUAAAGAGUGUGUAGGCGGUGCUCUAAGUUCGGUGUGAAAUCUCUGGCUCAACUGGGAGGGUGCGCCGGAAACUGGAGUGCUUGAGCGUGGGAGAGGAAAGCGGAAUUCCUGGUGUAGCGGUGAAAUGCGUAGAUAUCAGGAGGAACACCGGUGGGCGAAGGCGGGUCUCUGGGCCGAUACUGACGGCUGGAGGAGCGAAAGCGUGGGAGCGAACAGG